AUUCCAAUCUCUUGAGAUCAUUCAGAACUUGGUACUCAUAGAAUUUUUUUUUCCCAGCUCUGUGCUGUUCCUGAAUUUGCCAGCCUUCCAGGUUUCUGAGUUGUUGAUAAACACCGCACAGGAGACAUGAGGACAGAACCCUUCAGUGGAGACCUGUUUGGAUAUUGCAGGGGCUUUCUGUGCCCCGCCUAUGCGUGAUUUCAGCGCUGUGGAUUGCCAUUCAUGCCAUGGCAAAUGUAUGGUAUUUAGAACAUCUUGGAUUUCCCAUCACCCCUCAUCUUUCUGCAUCUAUGUUGGCCUUAUUCAUAUAACAAACCUUGGCAAUCUUGUUCAUGUGAAAAGCGGUGGAGCAAAUAACUCGGAACAUGUUACCUAUUCCAUUGAGUCUGCAACUUCCAAGCAGAGCAGUUCGACUUGGAUAUACAAACCCAAGAAAAGUCAGAAAGACAAGGAAAUCAAGAUUCUACCUCCACACCAUCCAGGGCUAAGUUCUCUCCCAAAGAUCACCCAAGUGGGCAUAUAUGACUCAAGGAACAAGAGGCAAAGCAUUCAGGAUGCCUUUAGAAGCCUUAGAUCUAAGAACCAUCUAAGACCGGGAAAGAUUUGGGAUAGAAAAGACCCAGAAAAUCUGGGAGACCCCUGGAAGACAUCUAGAUCAAGGGUCUGCAAACUAUGACCUGACAACCAAAGCCGGCCUGCUGCCUGUUUUUAUAAAUAAAGUGUUACAGGACCACAGCGAUGCCCAUUUGCCCAUUUAUUUCUGUAUUGUCUAUGGUUGCUUCUGCACUGCAAUGGUAGACUUAAGUAGUUGCAACAAAAAUUUAUGGCCACAAACCCUGAAAUAUUUACCAUUUAGCUGGUUACAGAAAAAGUUUGCCACAUUGUUUCCUAAACUGGGUUCUGAGA
ensembl:lincRNA